CUCGUUUCGUCCAAAGUUAAAUAUCAAAUUUUCCCUUUGUUUAACCUUCUAAUUUCGUAUUUCAUCAAAAUAAAUUUACCUUUUUGACUUUCCUUCCUUUAAUUUAAAAAAAUCUAUUUAAUUUAGGAUACAAUUAUAACAGCCUCAAAUUUAAGGUAUUCUUCUAAAUCUUCAAUCAACCUCAAAUCUUGGUCCUUUAAUUUGCUUUGAUUUGAAUUUCAAAAUCCCUAAUUCUAUCCUUUUAGUUGUAAAAUCAAUAUAACCCACCGAUUGAUUAUGAGAAAUCAGAAACCAAAUUUCCAACAUCGAUGGUACACCAUGCUUUUGAUCUCUCGAUUUAGGUAGGUUUAAUAUGUUUUAUAUCAAGUUUUUUAAGUUUGAUUUGAGGUUUACCAGGUUUACAUUUAUCAAUUUCCAACAUGUUUUUAGAGGCUAAAAAGAUCACAACGAAGACAGAUUGAGCUGGGUAUUUUCAACCCAUAACGAUUGUUGCUGCUACUACUUUGAAGAGCAGAAACAACAAAGUUAAACUCAUGUUUGUGUUUUUCAAUUUUUGUGUUUUUUGUUCUGUGGGUCUUAUAAUUCUGAUGUUUCUCCUUUUUUUUCAUGAUUCCUCAUGUUUGUUUCUUUGACUGCUGACUUUUCGAAUUGCUGUUGUUGUUUUUUUUGUUGAUGGAUUGAAGUUUUUUUUAUUCAGAAUCAAAAUGUGAAAGUUUUGGGUCAUCUGAUCUUGAUAUUGAAACAAAGUUUUGUUAUUCUAUAUGUAUGAAGAAACUCCCCCUUUAUAUAAGGAAAGAGUUGUGGAUGCUGAUAUAUUUGCUUUUUUUUUUUUGGGUUCAUCUGGUAUUAGUUAAUCCGGAAUCCAAAAAGCUUAAAAAUCAGAAAAUUAUGGAGAUCAGGUAGCUUUAUUUGAAUAUGGGUAGAUAUUCUAUAUUUCUGAUAGGUUUUAUUGGUUUAAUUGAAGCCUAAAGAACCAUGCUUAAAGGAUUUGUACUUGAAUUUUCUUGCAGAUCUGAUAUGACUUCGUGUGUAUACUCUUCAAACAGGCAAAAUAAGAUGAAGGGACAUAAUGAUUGAAAGGCUGAUAAGUUGGUAUUAAUAUAUCAUUGAUCCGAUGUGAAGAUGGAGAUGAUGAAAAAGCUCUUAAAGAGCAAAAAAGUCAAUUUCUAAGGGUUUUCUUGGAUGUGUCUAUCUGAAGCCCUUAAAAAUUCAUUGCUCUCCACGAUAACCUUUUAAUAAGGGCAUUGUUUCUCUUUAAGCUCAAAAAGCUUUAAAAGUUCAUGUUGUUUUUAUUCUUAUUAUGUUACUGAAACUUUUUGAGUUGAUGCAGUUACUUUUAUAAUAGGUGCAUAUUGUUUGUAUUUUAAUUUAGUCCCAUAAUGAAUCAGAUUGACAUCUUUGGUUUA